GAGGAUCAAUUUUUUUGUGAACGUGCAGUUAUUUUGAUUUUUUUUAUUAAAAUAAUUUUUUUUUCAAUUUUUUUUUGUUUAUUUUAGCGCACUCAAGGUUUUUUUACCCUAAUUUUUGUUUUAUUGAAAAAUUAUUUAUGAUUAUUCAUACAAAUUAAAUAUAUAUAUAUUUUAUGCAUAAUUAGAAGAUAAAUAUAUAGUAA
rnacentral:lncRNA from 1 species